AGAAAAUGAGUUGGAGGUGCUGUACAAAGUAAAAAUCUUUAGACUAAGGGACAAAUAAUUUCCCUUCCCCUGAUAUAUACAAUCACUAACAAGGAAAAUAAAAUCUGUUUACAAGAAAGCAUUUUAUUCACAUGGAACAGGUAAGAGAGGCACUCAGACACAAAACUCAGAACAAUUUCUGCAUCAACAAAUGCAGUAUUUCAUUAUCACAGACUAACAACUCAAAUAAUCCUGUUAAUAUCUUAAUGUUACUUAAUGUAAGCAGCCCCAAAAAUGAAGAGCUGACAACAUUACAUUGAUAAACAAUGAGGCAAGCAUACUGACAUUUACCAAAGACUGCCUUUAUGUGCGGUACUCAGUUUACAGUAUUCUGUCAUGUGAUUUACAGAAACUACAGCAAAUGACAAAAUAAAUAAAUAAAUAACGAUAAUUUCAUUAUCUUAAUUUCAUUAUCCCAACUUAACUCAGAGAAAAAAAAAAAUAACUGAGAUAUUCCUAUUGCUUUUCUCAGAAAUUUAAUAAUUACAGUGGAAUAUCUUUUCCAAUUUCUGGAAACAUCAAGAAGCGAAAUAUGUAAAAUUCUUAAUAUGUGACGUACAAAAUUAGCAGCCUAUUUUAUAAAAUGUCAUAUUUUUUUCUGUGUGUUCAAAUGGAACUUAGCACAAAGCCCAGGUGACUCUGAAAUACAUGCAAGGCAGUUCAUUAGCUGACGAGGUCCUGACUAGGCUUCAUGGAUUAUUUUAACUCUAUUGUCUACAAUAGAAGUUUACACACACAGCUUACACUAGAGCACUUCCGUACAGAUGCCUAGAGAUGUCUUAAUAUCCACUGGAGUCUCUCCCUACACCAUUAAAAACUACUGAAGGGUUCAUGUUGUUUGAUGGGAAGUGGCUAUUGCAAGAUAUCAUAAAUUUGUAGUCCAAGCCGUGUAUUACUGGCUAUGAGAACACGACUGACAAUAAAAUGGAAAUAUAGAAAAAUAAUUUAUUACUGAUUUUGUGACAUAGCACUACAAUCCCCAAGAUAAUAGAAAAUAUCUCAGUCUCAUGACCCAUAGGAAAAAUAAAUUUCUGAUUCCUAUAUAGGAUUGUCUACUGUAGCUCUAUAGAGGAAUGACAGGAAGUACCUGGAGACAGUAAAUUGCACAACUAUAUUUUUGACCUAAUCGGUAAAGAAUAAAAUACAAGAUAUGUUGAGGAGUUUUAUUUCUGAACCAAGCAAAAACACUCAUCAUAACACAAUAUUUAUUGUUAGGUUUUACCCACUUUGGUAAAAUGUUACUAUCCCAGAGGAGAGCUGCAAAAUAAAGGUUAAGUUUACCAAGACGUAAAGACAAUAAUUAAAAGCUCUUCAUACAUGUUUUUGAACAUAUAGUCCAGUGCUUUCAGAACAACAAAGGGAAGUAUGGAAAAUUAAUUGCACAAUCAAUAGGUUCUGAUUUUUCACAUUACCUUCAGAAAAGCGUGUUAUCCCAUCAGAGUACAUUUACUGAUGCUCAGUGUUUCUACAGAUCAACCUAUUGAUAUUAUUCAGUUAUAUUCAGACUUUUGUAGCUGCCAGUGGUGAAGCAUCUACCUGACAGGAUGAUUCAGACUUCUUCCUUUAGAAAUCCCAGCCGUCACACAGUCAGUGGGUUAAAUGCCUCACAGAGGAAAUAAAGAAUACCUAAGAGGGAUGCCUUUCUUUUUCCACUGGCAGGACAGCAAGUGUCUUUGGGUACACUACACCAUGGUGUUUGUUAGAACAGUUCAUGUACCUGUGCAGAACAGCCAUCUUCAUCUCUUGACCUUCGGAGCACUGAAUUCACUUUUGAUCGCAACAAGCUAAUGAAGGAUGUCCCUUUUUAUGCACAUUAGGGAAUGUGAACAGAAAGAGACUCUAAGACUUUCCUUUGUUUAUAACUCCUACAGGGAUGCCUCCACCUCAGAGAGCUGUAUGUCAAAAAAAAAAAAAAAAGGUCAUUUUUCCUCUUCAGUCUGGAUCAUAGCACAGAAAAAGAUUGAAAUAUUAGACUCAAUCACAGAAAACAGUAAGAAGAGUUAUCAAAUGGUAUCAUUUUCCUUGUGUGUUCAUGCAAGAUUUCACUUCUUCACAAGAGCUGUAAAAGAAAAGAAUUUUAUUGGGCCUUGAAUAGAUGUGUUUGAUGCUUAUAAAGAAAACUGACCUCAGUGGAAAGAUGUCCUUUGGCUAUAUUUUAUCAUUAGAAUUCUACAAUCUAAUCAUAUUGAUAUGCAUUUUAUCACGCACACACACAAAAUGAAGUGCACCUAUCUGUUUCACUAGCAAAACUAGUAUUAAAAUUUUAUGUUAGUGGAUGGGCUUUCUGUGUUCAUGAGUGAGGGUGCAAUGGGACACAGGCUGACAAUGACUAGUGGUUGAUACAAAGCUUACAGAAGGUGGCUGAGGUGAAUUACCAAUAUGGUUUUAAUGAUAACACUGAAUAUUUGCUGGAAAUGAGCACACACACCAUGCCAGCUUGCCUAUGUACAAGAGAAGUUUGAGCAGUGUGUGCAUGGAACAAAAAUCUGUCUAAAAAAAGCACGUAAUCAUCAUGUAAUCAUACAAACACCGCAGAACAGCGAUACCAAGACCCUGUAGGUCCUGACUGUGAUUAGAAGACAUAGCUGGUGAGGUAGCAGAGGCAACUAAAAUUUUGCAUUCAAAUGAAACUGCAGGACAAGUGGUAAUGGGUGCAAGUAGGCUAAUCCAUUAGAAAACUUACCCAAAUGAUUAGUUGACAGAUUCACAUAAAUAAUAUCAGGUAUUCAAUAUCAGCAGCAUUUUAUUUUUUUCUCUGGAGAAAAAUAAUUCUUAAAAAAAAAAAAAAAUCCAUUAAAAUCACUAAAAGGACCUCAAGUUGUCAUGAAUCCAGAGAGGAGAGUAUAUAACAUGCAGUCUCCCAAAGUCUAUCUCACUGUCAAAUGGAUGUGGAAUGAAUAACCAAACUUGUAACUUCUUUUCACAUAUACAGUAGGUAGGCAAGUUUGCUUAAUUUCUUCAAAUAGAUCACUGAAACAUACACAUCACCCUCCACACAUAGACAAACACAUACAUGUGUACACACACUGCUUGGAAUCUUUGCUAGCUUCUUGAAAUUCACAUGUAAAUUAUUGAUCACUGUCACUAAUACAUUUUUAAUUCUUACCCUUAGAGCGUGGCUGUGAACAUUCGUACUUUGAAUAAUGUGCUGCCUACACUGAAGGUUCUCAGAGACUGAAAGGGUGUAGGACAAUGACAGGGCCUUUUUUUUGUUUUUUGUUUUUUUAAAUCUACAUCAGGGACCUGCCUCGCUUCAGAGCCCUCAUUCUGUAGCACUCACAGAGGAGGGCACUUGCUUUAAAAACCUAGUGCCAGUGAAAUCAGGAGCUGUAUAAAAAAUAAAAUCAUACUUCAACCUUUAGCCUAAGGGCAAACCGUAGCUUUUUGUCACUUCAAGAAGGACACUGAGCUGUAUCCAAACUUGCGCGGGCUGUAGGCCAGAAUCACACACUGCUUUAAUUGCAUCUAGCUUGUGUUCAGUCUCUGCCUCAGACUAGAAAAAAUGAGAUGAAGCAUACAGCAACAAUAGGUCAAUUAAGAUGCACGGACCUUUCCUAGGGGAACUGCUCUGAAAAGAGUCAUACAAAGAAACUGCUUGAGGCACAUAAAUAUAUAUGGAAAAUAUAUAUAUGUGUAGUGUUAUGUAACAGUUAACAUGCUAAUGUUGUCUACUAUUCCCAUAUAGAUAUGUCAAUGCAUAAAUACUUAUUAUAUAUACACAGAAUACAUCAAUUGAUACUGUAUUAUAUAUUGUACUAUAUAGUGUCCAGAAUGUAUUAGUACACACUAGUACAGCAAAUAAAAUCGGUGUUUUAUCACAUAUCACUGUGUAAAAUUUAUUGUCCAAAAUAUAUUGCAUACGUUUAUACAUAAAGAAAAUCUAUACUUACAUUUAUACAGCUAUGUAUUCAUUCAAAUUAAGGCAAACAAUAGAGGAAAUAGAAAAAUAAAGUGGAAAAAAAAACAUCACCAUUUAUAUCUUCAUGUAUUCACUGUUUCAGCUCCAUGUGAAAACCACUUUUUUGACAUUCUGCAAAGCAGUAUGUGAACUGUAGAUACUGCACUGAAAAAGAUAAUGUACCCAUGUUUUUCUGCAUUUUACACAUACUACAUGAGGUCCUCUAUGGCCUACAGUUUUCUUCAGGGUACACACGGUAUUUCAAUAUAGAAGACUGCUUACUGCUAACACAGUGCCAAGUUUAAAGUUUGUAUUUCAGCAAUAGUAGCCCAGAAGAUCCUAAUUUAAACACUUGUGGUCUUGUAGUUGUGGUCCUGCCUGGAAGUGACCAUGAGUUUGAGCAUGGCAUUUGUACCAAAGUCCCCUUUGCUUGUGUACCAGGAGUCACUGCUUGGUAUAGUGGGCCUCUCUCAAGUGUUUUUUGUUUGUUUGUUGGUUUGUUUGUCUUCCAAAGUCUGUAGUGAGACCUGAUGCCAGGACAGACCCUGUGACCAUGAGAAUUCUGGGCACAGCGUCCAUCAUACACUUGCACAAGUGAUGACUGACACUGCUACCUGCAUUAAUACAGCUGCGAGUCUCAUAAGCUGCACUGGCAGUCCCUGUGGGUAUUUACUUCUAAAAAUGACCCCAGACCUAGGCAAGUAAGUCAAUUACUAUUGAGUUCAUGUGAUACCACAAAAAUGGCUCCAAAUUGUUCUGUUUGUUUCAGAAAUGGAAGCAUUUUCUAUGUUACUCAGUGAACUACUUACUGCUCCUUAAACAACUGUUGUGCCAGGAUCUGCCCAGGGGCAGGAGUGAGCUGGCUGCUUUACAAGCACGUGAUAAAUUGCUCCCUCCUUCUGAAGCUGAAGAACUUCCAGUGGAAACUGAUGAUAGAAACAUUUUAACAAUACCAUCUUAGAGAAAGAAGGAAUUAUAAGAUAAGUUGUUACACUGCUGGGUCUGUCUUCUUAUUUAAUGUAAAUUUUAAACAGAAAAAAAAAAAUCUUGCAUAAAAUCAAUCAGAGCAAAUAAGUAGUAGAGACAAAGAAAUCUGAUUUCUAUGUACAUGUGCUUCAAGAUGGCAGUCCUUUGUGCUUGAAUGCUUUGAAGCAUAAUAGAUAUUAACACUGCAGACUUCUGGGGCAUCCUGCUUUUUUUUUCCAGAGUAUUUGCGAAAGGUCACUGUUCAUUUUGGCUGAUGCCAGCAAAGGGAUGCAAACGUUAUUAGCAAAAGAUAGACAAGUCUAUCAAGUCCCUCUGUUGCUCAACAGCAGCUCAGCAAACUGAAUAUUCUCAACUAAAACCCAACUGCUCUCUUCAUAUCCAUAAAUACGUACUCCCAGUUCUUAAAAAAUGCCUGUGAAGGUCCUGUUCGUAAAGUCUGUACCAGAUGCUCUGAAUGCAUUAAAGUUAUUUUAAAUAAAUAAAUAAAUAAAUAUCACAUGGCAUUCACAUUUACUUUUUGUACACAUUUUGCAACAUGAUGUCAACAACUGUAACUACUUUUUUUUUUCAUAUUACUUAAAAUGUUGCACAUGACGUGCAAUGUUACCCACGAGAAUAGGCAUUUAUGGUAAAGGCUUUAAUUAUGUAAUUAUGUGGUUAUGUUCUAUCAUUUUCCCCAUAGGAUUUUACCUCAAGGACAGAGUUUGGGGAUAAUUUAAUGGCUGUUCUCAUAAAUAUGUUCAUGGUGUAUACAAAACAGUUCCUGUGUUUUUCUAGGGAGUGUGGAGGUAGGGAAGAGAAAAGGGAGAGAGAGCCACGACGAAUUCAUUCCUCACGGCCAGAUUUGCUGCUUGAUACGGUGAAGUUCUCCCGUUUUGCACACAAAGAUCGCUGUCAUUUUUUCUUGACAUAAGCUUGGCGCGCCUUGCC
ensembl:lncRNA